rnacentral:rRNA from 1 species
CCGUAGGCGGUUUGGUAAGUCAGUGGUGAAAGCCCAUCGCUUAACGAUGGAACGGCCAUUGAUACUGCCAGACUUGAAUUACUAGGAAGUAACUAGAAUAUGUAGUGUAGCGGUGAAAUGCUUAGAUAUUACAUGGAAUACCAAUUGCGAAGGCAGGUUACUACUAGUGGAUUGACGCUGAUGGACGAAAGCGUGGGUAGCGAACAGGAUUAGAUACCCUGGUAGUCCACGCCGUAAACGAUGGAUACUAGCUGUUCGGGGCAACCUGAGUGGCUAAGCGAAAGUGAUAAGUAUCCCACCUGGGGAGUACGUUCGCAAGAAUGAAACUCAAAGGAAUUGACGGGGGCCCGCACAAGCGGUGGAGCAUGUGGUUUAAUUCGAUGAUACGCGAGGAACCUUACCAAGGCUUAAAUGUAGAUUGACCGUUUUGGAAACAGAACUUUCGCAAGACAAUUUACAAGGUGCUGCAUGGUUGUCGUCAGCUCGUGCCGUGAGGUGUCAGGUUAAGUCCUAUAACGAGCGCAACCCCUGUUGUUAGUUGCCAUCGAGUCAAGUCGGGAACUCUAACAAGACUGCCAGUGUAAACUGUGAGGAAGGUGGGGAUGACGUCAAAUCAUCACGGCCCUUACGCCUUG